GCGGGGCCAGGUGCGCCCAGCCCCGCGCUGCGGCCGCCGCCGGCUUAUAAAGGGGGCGGGCCGGGCCUGGCGGGUGGCGCAGCCGGGACGGCCCAGGACUUCAUCCCCUGCAGAUGUGAAGCUCCUACAACGUUCGCUCCAGUUUCCAAGGGACGCAUGAGGAGAUGAGGUGUUCAGGUGCCUUUGCUGCUGGUCCAAGGCAACACAGAGCUCUGCAAGGCAGGGAAGCCGGGAGCUGCCCAGGAAGCUCGGAAGCUCUGCUUGGAUAAAAGCUCAGGUAUGAUUCUCACUGCGGAGUGCUGCGCGUUGGGGAACAUCGAUGGAGUAUUUAUU